rnacentral:tRNA from 1 species
GGGACUCUAGUAAAGAAUUUACAUAGCACUGUCAGUGCUAAGUCAUGGGUUUCCCCAUGAGGCCCA